CCCAGGCUCAAGGAAUCUAUUGAGAUGUUGUAAAUCUGCAUUUCUGUGAAACUGGUCCUGAGGGAUUUACUGAGAAGUAUGUGUACUGAGACAGCAAAUUCUGACUGAGUCCUGUUCCUGGACUUUGCCACUGGCCAUAGCAAGCAUGGAGGCUCGAGGAAACAUGAGGGGCACAGCAUGGACAAGCUGUAAGAGAAAGUCAUCAAGAGUCACCAGCUCUCCCACCUGUGGGGCAGUAGCCUUCUUCUGCGAGAAGCACCGCCCAGUUAUUAUCAUCACAACCUGACAAAAUGCAUCCAAGCAACUGUUUAAACUUCCCCUCAUAUGAAGAUCUAGUAAGACAAUGGUCAGGGAAGUACUUGGUAAUUCUCCAUUUUGACAGGAAGAAAUAGUGGGAAAAUAUGCUUUUCU
rnacentral:lncRNA from 12 species